AGUUGCAUCUAAGUUUCUGCCAUAGCGUCCGUUGAGAGACCACACAUGACGCGACCAGUUUGAAACUUUCAGUUUCAGUUUCAUUCAUCAGAAUCAUCACAAAGUUGCAGUUUCGUUGAAUUGCAUCUAAGUUUCUGCCAUAGCGUCCGUUGAGAGACCACACAUGACGCGGCCAGUUUGAAACUUUCAGUUUCAUUCAUUAGAAUCAUCAGAAAGUUGCAGUUUCGUUGCAGUUGCGUUUCACCGUAUGUUCUGGGCCUUAUUCUUAGGUGAUAUGAUAUGUAUGUGAUUGAUCGUUCAUGACGCUAUUAUUGACUAUUAAUGACGUAAUCACGAUUUUUAAACAGUUUAUGUACCAGUCUGAAACUGACACCUUGUUGACUGGGCUAUUCAAAUUUAAAUUCUUUAUUUAGGGUAGCAAAAUUGUUAUUGUAUUUGCCUUCAAUCAGAAAGAACAAUCAAAAAGUUGACCAUUUUUUGUUGAAGCAUGGUUCUUGACCAUUUGUGGCAUGAUUUUUUGCAUUUUACAAAUUUCGACAGCAUAGCAAGCUAAUACAGAACUUUAUGCCGUAGUAAUAAAUGCUAUUAUGCCAUAAAUUGAGGUUAUGAGGUCGCGUCGAAAACGUCACAAAGUGUCCAAAGCGUUAUUUAAACGGUCAUAGCAAGCCCAUUCCAUUUUGAACUCUAAUAUAACAGAAUAAGGUUGGAAAUGCCUUAUUUAGGGUAAAUCACCCAAACAUCUUACGUCGCACUCGUGGUCCGCUCGCGAACUAUUUGGUGCUGUGGAUUACCUUUGCGGUAUAUUAGAUAUUGUGUGACAAAUAUUAUUUAAAAUACAGCACGUCAAGCUAAAUUGCACCUUAUUUCAUAGUAAUGAAAGUGUUUUGCAACUAAAUGCGCAGCUUGGUGUGCUGUCAAAACUAUAUUUCAAAUACUACGCGAUGUAUGGAAUUUGUAUGACUGCGUCAUAAAUGUAUGAUGUUCAGUCGGCGUCAAAUAGUUCGUGACACCCAAAGUGGUCAAAAAGUGACAACACAACCUUAUUCCAAUGAGGGCUAUCGUUUUUAUACUUAACAGUUGGCACCCCUGGCGAUUGACAGGACCUUACUCUACAGUGGCGCCAUCUUGAUGAGUGCAAAUGCGAUAGUCCUCCUACCACUUUAGCGCUCACCAGUUGGUGCCACUGUCUCUUCGCUACUAGCAAGUGACAGGACCUUACUCUACAGUGGCGCUAACUGGUGAGCGCUAAAACGAUAGCCCUCAUUGUAACAAAGACGUGUUGCGAACUUCUUGGCUACUUUGGAUGUCACGAACUACGCUACGCUGAGUGUUCAACGCGUAGUAUAGUCCGGUCGCCGAGCACGUAGAAUUUCGUCCAAUCCAAUGACCCCAAGCUACCCAUCCCUAUCGCUCGCGCGUAAUUAUGUUGCUGUCGCGCUCUUUCACUCACCGCCAGUCGCACAGUCGCGACAGCAAUAUAAUUACGCGCGAGCGAUAAGGAUGGGUAGCUUGGGGUCAUUGGACGAAAUUCUACGUGCUCGGCGACCGGACUAUAGUGUGAAUAUACCCACUGGAGUGUAAGGAUGCAGUGCUGGACAAGAUAUUGUACACAAAUCGGCGUUUUGCUACUUCAAAAUGUUUUCAAUUGACUUUGAAUCUUGUGCAAAAGACAUACGAUUCAAUAUCCAUUGAAGAAAGAAGUUUUGAAAGUAAAUAACGAUUUCCUCAAUCAAUUUUUGACCUUAUAGUAAAGGAAUAAAGUUCAAAAUUGAAUGCAUUGGAUUUUAGAGAGAUCUAAAAAAAAUUAAAAAAGGCCAUAGGUACAAUAUCUUGUCAGGACUGUAAUAUAUUGUUAUUUUUUAAAUAUAGUAUUUUAAUUAAUUGUAUUGUAUUUGAUUUUAAUCAUUAUUGUUUUUGUUGAGGAUUCCUUGCAUUUUUGCUGACGAAAUAAUUAUUUUAACUUAGUUUUCUACUCAAACCACGUAUAAUAAUUUAAAAUAACAAGGUUAGUAAUGCCCGUUUUCACCAUCAAUACCUAAUUUUUAAGUGACCCCUAUGUAAACAAAAUUCCUGUUAUUUGUUACCAUAGGGGUCACUUAAAAAUUAGGGAUUGAUGGCGAAAACAGGCAUUAAUCUAAGCAAGCUAAACUCGGUCAGCGCCUGAGCUAUGGGAGCGGCACGUGGUGUUUUUGACACGUCAAACGUCAGCAAGACUUCAGACAGAGUAAAUACAAAUGAGUAGGUCAUCUUCAUAGAAACGCACGGGCGUGGUUUGUAUGUGAGCGCGCCAAUACGUAUGCGGCGCGCACGCACACACUGACAAAAUUCUAAAAUAAAAACCGACUGGCUCCCCGCUAAUCCACACUAAAUAGCAAUGCCAGAUAUUGUAUGGAAAGUGGCGUCUUUUUUUUUUUCGCGCGGCCAUCGACCAAACUUUGUUUUUUGAUUACAAAAUAGUGUAAUAAACCAAACUUACUAUGACAUUUAUACCUGUAAACUCAGUCUGAACUGAGUUACGAGCAUUAGAAGUUUGAUGAUUUUCAUACUAGAUUUGCUUUUUGUGCGCAAGUUUUGCAAGAAAUUGCAACAAAAGAUUGCGCUAUUUUUAUAUUGCGCUGAUUCUGCUCCAUACUGAUGUCUGGAGCCUUUAAUGGAUGGUAUUGUUUGUUUACACAUACAAUCUCACUAUUUUGUUGCAAUUUCUUACAAAACUUUGCGCACAAAAAGCAAAUCUAGUAUGAAAAUCAUCAAACUUGUAAUGCUCGUAACUCAGUUCAGACUGAGUUUAGAGGUAUACAUGUCAUAGUAAGUUUGGUUUAUUACACUAUUUUGUAAUCAAAAAACAAAAUUUUGGUCGAUGGCCGCGCGAAAAAAAAAGACGCCAAUUUCCGGCAUUGUCUUUUUGUCAGUGUGUGCGUGCGUGCCGCAUACGUGUUGGCGCGCUCACAUACAAACCGCGCCCGUGCGUUUCUAUGAAGAUGACCUACUCAUUUGUAUUUACUCUGCUUCAGAUUUGUCAGCUCUGUCACGUCAUAAAAUGUCAAUGUCACUCCUCCCGUGCCGCUCUCAUACCUCAGGCACUGACUGAGUGCUAGACCUUACUCAUACAAAAUUAUACCUAAAUCCAUUAUUAUCUUUUGUAUUUAAUGAACUAGAAAACACGAGGUUUUAAGUCCAUAAGGACCCCUAGUUAAGAAAUGCUAUAGAACAUUUUUACACAAUUAUAAAAAUAAAAUACAUCCACAAAAAGCUUAUUUAUUUUAAAAUACUAUUAAAACAUCACAGAAAAUGUAAAUUAUGUUACUAUUUUAUUUGUCUGUGGUUAGUUUUUUGACAGCUGUCACUAAAUUGAGCGAAUGAAGGAGUGAUUUGUACGUUCACUCAUUCGUUUUUCGCGCCAGUUCCUAUGAAUUGAGUGAAUGAUAUACAUUUGAUUUGAUAUUUAAAUUGAUUUCGAAAGGGUGGUGGAGUGUAGUAUUAAAAAUUAUGUUUUAGUUAAUUCAUUUAUUUUGGAGUGCCAAAGAUGGUAAAAAUCAACCAUUUUGAAUAUUAAAAAAGAUAAAAGAAAUAAUCAAGUGUUUAAAUCAAAAACCUUUAUGCAAGUUCCUUAGAUUUGCCUUUUAAAAUAUUUUAAUUAUUGGUCUAGCGGAUGAUGACUGGGUAAUGAAAUCGAAAUUCUAUUUAGUCCGUCAGACAGAUAAUUAGAAAAUAUUACUCAUAUUUUUUUUCCAUAAUCGAAUAGUUACAGUAUUAAUUGAGUUGAAAUGUCGCGUGAUGUCACUUUUGAGUAAAAAUUCUACUCAAGCGUGACGUAUCGCGCCAUUUCAACUCGAUGUAGCACUGUUAUUAUUUAAUUAUGAAAGAAAAUAAAAAAUAUGAGUCUGAUAUUUUCUAAUUAUCUGUCUGACGGACAAAUAAUUGAAAUUUUGUCAUCUAGCCUAUUCAGUGCUUGAGGUAUUUGACACCAAACAAUCCAUGUGGGUUUCAUAAUUUUUCACCAGUUGGCACUACUGGAAGGUAAGGUUUUGUCAUUUGCAAGUAGCGCCAACUAGUGAUAAAAAAGAAACAUUCUAUAGAGACAAAAAAACUGAAAAAGUAAUUUUGCCUUUUUGAUGAAGAAGUAAGCUACCUAUUUAUCUUGAUAUAAUAAUUUUAUAUGCAUUUGUUUAAAUCCUAGUAAUAUUAACUCUUAUUGUAAAAAUCUAAAAGCAUUAUAAUGUCAUUAUAAGUUACAAUUAAAUACCUAUCCUCUUCCAACCAAUGUAUAGUGAAAGGGAUGACAAUAUUAUAUCAGUAGCUAAAUUA